rnacentral:rRNA from 1 species
AGUGAACGCUGGCGGUAGGCCUAACACAUGCAAGUCGAACGGCAGCACAGUAAGAGCUUGCUCUUACGGGUGGCGAGUGGCGGACGGGUGAGGAAUACAUCGGAAUCUACUUUUUCGUGGGGGAUAACGUAGGGAAACUUACGCUAAUACCGCAUACGACCUACGGGUGAAAGCAGGGGAUCUUCGGACCUUGCGCGAUUGAAUGAGCCGAUGUCGGAUUAGCUAGUUGGCGGGGUAAAGGCCCACCAAGGCGACGAUCCGUAGCUGGUCUGAGAGGAUGAUCAACCACAAUGGAACUGGGACACGGGCCAGACUCCUACGGGAGGCAGCAGUGGGGAAUAUUGGACAAUGGGCGCAAGCCUUAUCCAGCCAUACCGCGUGGGUGAAGAAGGCCUUCGGGUUGUAAAGCCCUUUUGUUGGGAAAGAAAAGCAGCAGGUUAAUACCCCGCUGUUCUGACGGUACCCAAAGAAUAAGCACCGGCUAACUUCGUG